AAACCGUCUGGUUAAAGGGACAUUGGUGGGAAAGCUUUUGUUUCAUUUAUGAUUCGCCGAUAGAAAUUGCAACACGAUUUCUGCGUUAAUUGUUACGCUGAAAGAAUUAUACUAUUCGAAUCUUUUUGGGUUUUAGUCUGUUCAAAAUGUUCUUGUUUCCUUAUGUUUGUGUCAUUAUUGCCAAUACGCUAUCGAUACAUGCCCGUAACCCCCCCUCUAAUAAUGAUUCUGUAAUUACUGUAAGUUCUCGUAGGCUUGGCAGAAUUGUGAGCCGUGUAAUAUAGAGCUGAAAUCUGCGUUUAGAGCAGGAUAAAUAAAUACAGAAAGGCUCCUGUGAUUGCCUCCUGUGACCUGUAUCACGAAGCAGGAUUAGGUUAAGUAGCCUACAUGUUCCCGAUUUUUUUGGAGGGUUCCGGGUUUUAAUCAAUGCAGAGUUAUCCAGCUAAAACUCAGUUAUGCUGCUGCUGAUACAGGCCCCUGCAUUUGGGUAGCCAAACAACAGAAGCCUAUGGAUUUGGAUUUGGUGGCCAGUAACAGGCUACAUGGCCACUGUCAUGGUGAAUCUUAUGGGAAACACUGUAGAAACAGGCCAUUUUAUGAAUGGGUUUGGACACUUAACCCGGAAGUCUUUCCAAUGAGAGAGAGAGCCUGUGUUCGACUCUGGUUCGACUGUGCUGAUUUAGAGCGCCAAUGGUACUAAUUAUUAACGUGUGUACAUGACCUGUAACCUCAGUGCUAGUGCUGGCGCUGACAGGCACACACCUUUACCUGUCCCAGGUCUAGGCUAAAGCUAACAGGCACACACCUUUACCUGUCCCAGGUCUAGGCUAAAGCUAACAGGCACACACCUUUACCUGUCCCAGGUCUAGGCUAAAGCUAACAGGCACACACCUUUACCUGUCCCAGGUCUAGGCUAAAGCUAACAGGCACACACCUUUACCUGUCCCAGGGCUAGGCUAAAGCUAACAGGCACACACCUUUUCCUGUCCCAGGUCUAGGCUAAAGCUAACAGGCACACACCUUUACCUGUCCCAGGUCUUGGCUAAAGCUAACAGGCACACACCUUUACCUGUCCCGGGUCUAGGCUAAAGCUAACAGGCACACACCUUUACCUGUCCCAGGUCUUGGCUAAAGCCAGUGUCAUGUAAGCUUUUUCUUGCCUUGGCAGGCUUAUUGCUGGAAGUGUGCGAUAAGUACAGCAACACGCACAUUGUCAGCACUUAAUCUUCUAAAUGCCGCUUCCUCCCGGUGUGGGUGCCUGAUCAGAGGCUGUUAUAUGAGCCUCUUCUAUAGUGUGUGGGCUGAGUCUAGUCCCCUUCCUGGGCAGGUAAAGCAUUCCUUAACCUGCUGAGAAGUUCUUAUCUCUUAUAGUGACGGUGUCUGGCUGAUACUGGGCAGAACCAGAGAUAGUGUGCCUUUUUGCUGAACCUGUUGUUCGAAACAGAUUUUUUUUUUUUUAUAUCUUAAAGAACAGAACAGGGGCGUGAGACUGGAUAGCCCUGUGGCCAUACUGUAUGUCCAUACUGUAGUUAGCCGGGUAGAAUUUUGUUUUGCCUUUAAGUAAUCUAAUAUCAGCUUAGCACUGGUGCAUGAAAAAUAAAUUAAUGGUUUGCUGUUAGCAAAAGCUUGUUCAUACACUCUGCAGGAGCUGUACUACGUGUGGUGUAUCUUGACAGUUCAACAAGAACAGUUUGGGAGCCCAGUAGUGUGUGAGAAGGGAGUGUGUGUCACUUCUGUUGGUUUACCCGUUUAGGGUAAUUCAUUCCUGCCCUCUGUUUGUCCCCCCCCAUAUUUUUCAUAAAAUAUAUUCAUAUUUUCCCUUGAAUGCUCCAUCCCGGAAUCAAUCAGCGGGAAUAAUGAAGAUGAGCUCUUUCCUCUCUGCUUUCACCCCCCCCUCUCUCUUUCUCUCUUUCUCUCUCUCCUCCCCUCUCCCCCUCUCCCUCUCUCCCCUCUGCUUUCGCCCUCUCGGCCUCUCUCUCUGUCUGUCUUUCCAUCUCUGUUUUUCACCUCACCAGGAAAUUGCAGUCAUUAUAAUGUUCAAUUUACACCCCAUCUCUUGCCCCCCCCCCCCCCCCCCUUACACACACUCAACUUCCUGCGUCAUUCAGUUGAAUGUUAUGCUUCAGUAACAGUAGGUGGUUUGAGCUGGCCCUUCAUUCUGGUCUCUCUCUCUCUCUCUCUCUCUAUUUGGAGUAGAUUGCUUAGAGUAAAUAAAUUACAUUUUAGCACACGCACCUUUACUUGCUGCUGCAGACGCCCAGAAAUGGGGGAUGUGGUGCUUCGUCCCCUUCCUCUUCCUCGCUGAGGUGUGAUUUAUCGGUGCGGUCUCUGGGCACGCAAAAGCUCUUCUGGCACGAGGCCAACGUUGCAGAAGCUUUUAGAGUUAAUUAAGUCUUUUUAAUUCCCCUUGUCAUCCCGCUUGUUUAUUGUUGUUUUGGAAGCAGUUUUGUCAGAGUGUGAGAAUGUGAGUGUGAGAGUGUGUGUGUGUGUGUGUGUGAGAGAGUGAGUAUGCACGUGUGUGCUCAGGCAUGCACCGCGAGCAAGCCGAUGCACAUAUCCUCCCUUUGGAAAUGCCAUGUCUGAAUCGCAGCGUUUUACUGCAGCUAAGUCAGCAUUUUUGGAAGGAAAUGGAGACCUUUAUUCAAAUGAAUCAGAUUGAUUUUAUUAAGGGGGGGGGGGGCGUCUAUGAAAAAUGAAAGUGGUAUUGAAGUUGACGUGGGACCCUGAGUGCACCUUGGCUCAGUUUUAAUUGGAACUCAAUAAGCAGGUGGCCAAAAUCAAACGCCUUUGUCUAAAACACUUUCAGCGUAAUUGCCUUCGUAAAUUCUCCUCCUGUUUCCCAGUUGCUGAGCAUGACUGGGAGCCUUGCCUGUCGUAAAACAUUUCUUAAAAAGACUGCGAUUACGAGAGGGUCGUUGCUGG